GUCCCUAUAAUUUAGUCCCUCUAUCAUGAGUCCUGACUAGAUGGUAGGUCAUAAAUAAAUCAUCAAAUAUCAAUAUUAAUUAUAUGAUAGAUUGAUUAGCUCAAGUCCAGUUGUGACUUCUAUGAAAAUUCUUUGCUAUCAAUCACACUGCUGUAGCCACAGACUCUUGGACUUAGCCUCUCAAAUCUCAUAGGACUAUUCCUCUCUAUCAAGGUCG
rnacentral:lncRNA from 1 species